rnacentral:lncRNA from 1 species
GCCGAGACGGGGUGGAAGGGAAGGGAUCGGAACCCAGCGAGCAGGAGUGGAAGGAUCGCUGCAGGGGCCGAGGAAAGAAAAGCCUGGGAAAGGCCAGGGUAUGGCUGUAACACUCCAAGGCCUUCAAAAGGGCAGACCAGCAGACCAGGAGCCGGAAAGACUUCCCUGACUUUGGUGCCAUCCACGCUACAUCUCCUCUUGGUACACAGUAUGAACAUGUUUAAUUAGACCUAGACAAUUUGUCAAUGACCCAGCAAUUCCACUAACAAAAAUGUAUUCCAAAUAAAUAAACGUUGUUAUGUUAAAAAAUGAACAUGAGAUUGUUUGUAAUGAUGUGAAAAGUUGAAAACAACCUAAAUAUCCAU